GUGUGCGUACCUAAAAACCAAGGAGGGAUGGGAUUCCGUGAUAUUCAUUAUUUCAACUUGGCAUUACUAGCCAAACAGGCGUGGCGUCUUCUUGAUAAUCUUGAUUCCUUGUGUGCUACUAUCCUAAGGGCUAAGUACUAUUCUGAUGGCGAUUUGUUGAAUUCCAAGGUAAAGAAAUGUUCUUCCUUUACUUAGCAAAGCAUUAUGGCAGGCAUAAAUUUCCUGAAAUGUGGUUAUAUUUGGCGAGUGGGGAACGGACAAAAUAUCAAAAUUUGGGAAGAUCCCUGGAUUCCUAAUUGUGCCACUAGAAAGAUUGUGACGCCUAAGGGGGGCACCUGUUAUCUAAGGUUGGUGAUCUCAUUGACCCUGCUUCGAAUAAUUGGGAUGAAGACCUGA
rnacentral:rRNA from 1 species